rnacentral:rRNA from 1 species
AGAGUUUGAUCCUGGCUCAGAAUCAACGCUGGCGGCGUGCCUAACACAUGCAAGUCGAGCGAGAAAAGGGGAGCAAUCCCCUGAGUACAGCGGCGCACGGGUGAGUAACACGUGGGUAAUCUGCCCUGGAGUGGGGAAUAACACCGGGAAACCGGUGCUAAUACCGCAUACGAUCACAGAGUCUGCGGAUUUUGUGAUGAAAGGAGCAAUUCGCUCUAGGAGGAGCCCGCGGCUGAUUAGCUAGUUGGUGAGGUAUUGGCUCACCAAGGCAACGAUCAGUAUCCGGUCUGAGAGGACGGUCGGACACACUGGAACUGAGACACGGUCCAGACUCCUACGGGAGGCAGCAGUGGGGAAUUUUUGGCAAUGGGGGCAACCCUGACCAAGCAACGCCGCGUGGGUGAUGAAGUCUCUUGGGACGUAAAACCCUUUCGACGGGGACGAAACCGCAAGGUUGACGGUACCCGUAGAAGAAGCCCCGGCUAACUCCGUGCCAGCAGCCGCGGUAAUACGGGGGGGGCAAGCGUUGUUCGGAAUUACUGGGCGUAAAGGGCGCGUAGGCGGUUCGCU